rnacentral:rRNA from 1 species
CCUACGGGCGGCAGCAGUGAGGAAUAUUGGUCAAUGGACGAGAGUCUGAACCAGCCAAGUAGUGUGAAGGAUGACUGCCCUAUGGGUUGUAAACUUCUUUUAUAUGGGAAUAAAAUGUUCCACGUGUGGGAUUUUGUAUGUACCAUAUGAAUAAGGAUCGGCUAACUCCGUGCCAGCAGCCGCGGUAAUACGGAGGAUCCGAGCGUUAUCCGGAUUUAUUGGGUUUAAAGGGAGCGUAGGUGGAUUGUUAAGUCAGUUGUGAAAGUUUGCGGCUCAACCGUAAAAUUGCAGUUGAAACUGGCAGUCUUGAGUACAGUAGAGGUGGGCGGAAGUCGUGGUGUAGCGGUGAAAUGCUUAGAUAUCACGAAGAACUCCGAUUGCGAAGGCAGUUCACUGGACUGCAACUGACACUGAGGCUCGAAAGUGUGGGUAUCAAACAGGAUUAGAUACCCGAGUAGUC